rnacentral:rRNA from 1 species
UACGGGGGGGGUAAGCGUUGUUCGGAAUUAUUGGGCGUAAAGGGCGCGUAGGCGGCUAGAUGUGUCAAAGGUGAAAUCCCUCGGCUCAACUGAGGAACUGCCUUUGAAACUGUCUGGCUUGAGGCCGGGAGAGGGUAGCGGAAUUCCCAGUGUAGCGGUGAAAUGCGUAGAUAUUGGGAGGAACACCAGUGGCGAAGGCGGCUACCUGGACCGGUUCUGACGCUGAGGCGCGAAAGCGUGGGUAGCAAACAGG